GCAUAUCAAUAAGCGGAGGAAAAGAAACCAACAGGGAUUGCCCUAGUAACGGCGAGUGAAGCGGCAACAGCUCAAAUUUGAAAUCUGGCUCUCUUUGGGGGUCCGAGUUGUAAUUUGCAGAGGAUGCUUUGGCAUUGGCGGCGGUCUAAGUUCCUUGGAACAGGACAUCGCAGAGGGUGAGAAUCCCGUACGUGGGCGCCUGCCUUUGCCGUGUAAAGCUCCUUCGACGAGUCGAGUUGUUUGGGAAUGCAGCUCUAAAUGGGAGGUAAAUUUCUUCUAAAGCUAAAUACCGGCCAGAGACCGAUAGCGCACAAGUAGAGUGAUCGAAAGAUGAAAAGUACUUUGGAAAGAGAGUCAAAAAGCACGUGAAAUUGUUGAAAGGGAAGCGCUUGCAGCCAGACUUGCCCGCAGUUGCUCACCUAGGCUUUGGCCUGGGGCACUCUUCUGCGGGCAGGCCAGCAUCAGUUUGGGCGGUUGGAUAAAGGCCUCUGUCACGUAUCUCCCUUCGGGGUGACCUUAUAGGGGAGGCGCAAUGCAACCAGCCCGGACUGAGGUCCGCGCAUCUGCUAGGAUGCUGGCGUAAUGGCUGUAAGCGGCCCGUCUUGAAACACGGACCAAGGAGUCUAACAUCUAUGCGAGUGUUUGGGUGUCAAGCCCGGGCGCGCAAUGAAAGUGAACGGAGGUGGGAACCCUUUGGGUGCACCAUCGACCGAUCCUGAUGUCUUCGGAUGGAUUUGAGUAAGAGCAUAGCUGUUGGGACCCGAAAGAUGGUGAACUAUGCUUGAAUAGGGUGAAGCCAGAGGAAACUCUGGUGGAGGCUCGCAGCGGUUCUGACGUGCAAAUCGAUCGUCAAAUUUGGGCAUAGGGGCGAAAGACUAAUCGAACCAUCUAGUAGCUGGUUCCUGCCGAA
rnacentral:rRNA from 1 species